GACGUAGGGUGCAAACGUUGUCCGGAUUUACUGGGCGUAAAGCGCGUGCAGGCGGCCCAGCAAGUCGGAUGUGAAAGCCCUGGGCUUAACCUAGGAAGUGCACUCGAAACUGCUGGGCUUGAGUUCUGGAGAGGAAGGCGGAAUUCUCGGUGUAGAGGUGAAAUUCGUAGAUAUCGAGAGGAACACCGGUGGCGAAGGCGGCCUUCUGGACAGUGACUGACGCUGAGACGCGAAAGCGUGGGGAGCAAACAGG
rnacentral:rRNA from 1 species